GUUGGCUACGGAGACAUUGUUCCUAGGACGUUUCUAGGAAAAAUUAUCGGCAGCGGCUGCUGCAUCUGCGGCGUGCUGGUGGUGGCGCUGCCCAUCCCCAUCAUCGUGAACAAC
rfam:Macrostomum lignano uti_cns_0006031, whole genome shotgun sequence.